rnacentral:rRNA from 1 species
AGCGGCGGACGGGUGAGUAACACGUGGGCAACCUGCCUCAUAGAGGGGAAUAGCCUCCCGAAAGGGAGAUUAAUACCGCAUAAGAUUGUAGCUUCGCAUGAAGUAGCAAUUAAAGGAGCAAUCCGCUAUGAGAUGGGCCCGCGGCGCAUUAGCUAGUUGGUGAGGUAACGGCUCACCAAGGCGACGAUGCGUAGCCGACCUGAGAGGGUGAUCGGCCACAUUGGGACUGAGACACGGCCCAGACUCCUACGGGAGGCAGCAGUGGGGAAUAUUGCACAAUGGGGGAAACCCUGAUGCAGCAACGCCGCGUGAGUGAUGACGGCCUUCGGGUUGUAAAGCUCUGUCUUCAGGGACGAUAAUGACGGUACCUGAGGAGGAAGCCACGGCUAACUACGUGCCAGCAGCCGCGGUAAUACGUAGGUGGCGAGCGUUGUCCGGAUUUACUGGGCGUAAAGGGAGCGUAGGCGGACUUUUAAGUGAGAUGUGAAAUACCCGGGCUCAACUUGGGUGCUGCAUUUCAGACUGGAAGUCUAGAGUGCAGGAGAGGAGAAUGGAAUUCCUAGUGUAGCGGUGAAAUGCGUAGAGAUUAGGAAGAACACCAGUGGCGAAGGCGAUUCUCUGGACUGUAACUGACGCUGAGGCUCGAAAGCGUGGGGAGCAACAGGAUUAGAUACCCUGGUAGUCCACGCCGUAACGAUGAAUACUAGUGU